rnacentral:rRNA from 1 species
GACGAACGCUGGCGGCGUGCCUAACACAUGCAAGUCGAACGGAGUGAUGAUUUCGGUUAUCACUUAGUGGCGAACGGGUGAGUAACGCGUGAGAAACCUGCCUUUCAGUGGGGGACAACAGUUGGAAACGACUGCUAAUACCGCAUAAUGUCAUUUGGGGGCAUCCCUGGAUGACCAAAGAUUUAUUGCUGAAAGAUGGUCUCGCGUCUGAUUAGCUAGUUGGCGGGGUAACGGCCCACCAAGGCGACGAUCAGUAGCCGGGCUGAGAGGCUCUGCGGCCACAUUGGGACUGAGAUACGGCCCAG